rnacentral:ncRNA from 1 species
UCUCGGUGAAGUAGUAGAAGAGGUAAUGUCUUUUUCUAGCUAACACUCGUAGUCGUGACUGAGAGGUCGAUCGACCACAUUGGGUCUGAAAAACCCCAAUGCGUAUUAGUACAGCAGUGAGGGAUAUUGGUCAAUGGUCUAACGACUGAACCAGUAACUUGGAAGAAUGUAUGUAUUAUAAUUAAUACAAUAACGAUUAAUUCGUAUAAAAUUCUAAAUAGGAUAAUGAUAAUGACAAUUUCCUAUUUAUAAGUCUUGACCAAAUUACGUGCCAGCAGUCGCGGUAAUACGUAGAAGACUAGUGUUAGUCAUCUUUAUUAGGUUUAAAGGGUACCUAGACGGUAAAUAACACUUAAAUAGAGUAUUUAUUUACUAGAGUUUUAUAAGAGAAGGAAGAACUUCUGGAGUAGUGAUAAAAUAUGUUGAUACCAGAGGGACUGGUAACGGCGAAGGCAUCCUUCUAUGUAAAAACUGACGUUGAGGGACGAAGGCUUGGGUAGCAAUAAGGAUUAGAUACCCUAGUAGUCCAAGCAGAAAAUGAUGAAUGUCAUAGACUAGAUAAAAAUUUAGUCUAUAAAUGAAAGUGUAAGCAUUCCACCUCAAGAGUACUAUGGCAACAUAUAAACUGAAAUCAUUAGACCGUUUCUGAAACCAGUAGUGAAGUAUGUUAUUUAAUUCGAUAAUCCGCGAAUAACCUUACCACAAUUUGAAUAUAUUAAGUUAUUACAAGCGCUGCACGGCUGUCUUUAGUUAAUGUCGUGAGAUCUGGUUAACUCCUAAAAUUAACGAAAACCCUCAUUUUAUUUGUAUAUAUAAAGUGGUUCUCCAGUAUAGUGGAAAGAUAAAAGGGAUUAAGACAAGUCAUCAUGGCCUAAAUAUUGUGGGCUAUAGACGUGCCACAUAUGCCUCUACAAAGGGAUGCUAUAUUGCGAAAUGGAGCUAAUCCCCAAAAUUGGAUAUAAUAUGGAUUGUUGUCUGUAAUUCGACAGCAUGAAUAAGGAAUUACUAGUAAUCGUGAAUCACCAUCGUCACGGUGAAUCUAAUCUCAGCUAGGUACUAACCACUCGUCAGGCGCUGAAAGGAGUAUGUGCAAUAAGUUUGGUUUGUUU